rnacentral:rRNA from 1 species
UACGUAGGGUGCAAGCGUUGUCCGGAAUUAUUGGGCGUAAAGAGCUCGUAGGCGGUCCGUCACGUCGGGAGUGAAAACUUGGGGCUUAACCCCAAGCCUGCUUCCGAUACGGGCGGACUAGAGGUAGGCAGGGGAGAACGGAAUUCCUGGUGUAGCGGUGAAAUGCGCAGAUAUCAGGAGGAACACCGGUGGCGAAGGCGGUUCUCUGGGCCUUACCUGACGCUGAGGAGCGAAAGCGUGGGGAGCAAACAGG